rnacentral:rRNA from 1 species
GCUUGCUGCUUUGCUGACGAGUGGCGGACGGGUGAGUAAUGUCUGGGAAACUGCUGAUGGAGGGGGAUAACUACUGGAAACGGUAGCUAAUACCGCAUAACGUCGCAAGACCAAAGAGGGGGACCUUCGGGCCUCUUGCCAUCGGAUGUGCCCAGAUGGGAUUAGCUUGUUGGUGGGGUAACGGCUCACCAAGGCGACGAUCCCUAGCUGGUCUGAGAGGAUGACCAGCCACACUGGAACUGAGACACGGUCCAGACUCCUACGGGAGGCAGCAGUGGGGAAUAUUGCACAAUGGGCGCAAGCCUGAUGCAGCCAUGCCGCGUGUAUGAAGAAGGCCUUCGGGUUGUAAAGUACUUUCAGCGGGGAGGAAGGGAGUAAAGUUAAUACCUUUGCUCAUUGACGUUACCCGCAGAAGAAGCACCGGCUAACUCCGUGCCAGCAGCCGCGGUAAUACGGAGGGUGCAAGCGUUAAUCGGAAUUACUGGGCGUAAAGCGCACGCAGGCGGUUUGUUAAGUCAGAUGUGAAAUCCCCGGGCUCAACCUGGGAACUGCAUCUGAUACUGGCAAGCUUGAGUCUCGUAGAGGGGGGUAGAAUUCCAGGUGUAGCGGUGAAAUGCGUAGAGAUCUGGAGGAAUACCGGUGGCGAAGGCGGCCCCCUGGACGAAGACUGACGCUCAGGUGCGAAAGCGUGGGGAGCAAACAGGAUUAGAUACCCUGGUAGUCCACGCCGUAAACGAUGUCGACUUGGAGGUUGUGCCCUUGAGGCGUGGCUUCCGGAGCUAACGCGUUAAGUCGACCGCCUGGGGAGUACGGCCGCAAGGUUAAAACUCAAAUGAAUUGACGGGGGCCCGCACAAGCGGUGGAGCAUGUGGUUUAAUUCGAUGCAACGCGAAGAACCUUACCUGGUCUUGACAUCCACAGAACUUUCCAGAGAUGGAUUGGUGCCUUCGGGAACUGUGAGACAGGUGCUGCAUGGCUGUCGUCAGCUCGUGUUGUGAAAUGUUGGGUUAAGUCCCGCAACGAGCGCAACCCUUAUCCUUUGUUGCCAGCGGUCCGGCCGGGAACUCAAAGGAGACUGCCAGUGAUAAACUGGAGGAAGGUGGGGAUGACGUCAAGUCAUCAUGGCCCUUACGACCAGGGCUACACACGUGCUACAAUGGCGCAUACAAAGAGAAGCGACCUCGCGAGAGCAAGCGGACCUCAUAAAGUGCGUCGUAGUCCGGAUUGGAGUCUGCAACUCGACUCCAUGAAGUCGGAAUCGCUAGUAAUCGUGGAUCAGAAUGCCACGGUGAAUACGUUCCCGGGCCUUGUACACACCGCCCGUCACACCAUGGGAGUGGGUUGCAAAAGAAGUAGGUAGCUUAACCUUCGGGAGGGCGCUUACCACUUUGUGAUUCAUGACUGGG